CUUAAGUUAGAAAAUAAAUAGGUAGUAAUUAGGUAGAAAUUCAAUAGAUUUUUGUAUAUGUGUUAGAAACUCAAAUUGGUGUAAAUUAGUAGUAAUUAGUAGUAAUUAGGUUCGUCGCUCCGCCUAGGUUAGAAAUGAAUCGUGUUUUGGCGUGGUUCCGUCCCCGCCUCCGCCGUCCCGCUGCCCUGACCGCCGUCGUCCCAAUCUAGACCAUCCGUGGUUCCGUCCCCGCCUCCGCCCUUCAGCCUCCGUCGCAAAUUUAGUAGAAAUUUGGUCAAAAUUAAUCGUUGUUGCGGCCACCUCACUCCAUCCCCGCCUCCUCUGUUCUGCCACCCCGGCCUCCGCAAAUUCAUGUUAUUGCUAGAAAAUCGUAAAAAUUCAUGUUAUUGCUAGAAAAUCGUAAAAAUUCAUGUUAUUGCUAGAAAUUCGUACAAAUUCAUGUUAUUGCUAGAAAUUCGUACAAAUUCAUGUUAUUGCUAGAAAUUCGUAAAAAUUCAUGGUAUUGCUAGAAAC
rnacentral:lncRNA from 1 species